CACAAGGGCCACAUCUAACUCCCUCUUAAAUAUAGCCAAUGAACUGGCCUCAACUACCUUCUGUGGCAGAGAAUUGCACAGAUUCACCACUCUCUGUGUAAUAAAUUGACAGGUACAGAAUGCAGCGAAAGGCAGGCAAGCACAAACAUAUUGCAAAACAGCUCAGCCACAUUCACUUAUGUACUGGCAUUAUGUCUAUUGGAUGAGAUUUGCUCAGAGCACAUAUCAAAAAGACAGACCAUUUUUUCUCAGUUUAUUUCGUUUCUCACUACGUGUCGGGCAGGAACAGAUUUGGUUGAUUGCGCCUGUCUUGUUCAAUCUUGUUUUUUGGCAUCAUAGUCAUAGAAUUGUAGAGCAUUAAAACAGGCACUUCAGUAACCUGCUUCUCUGUGGGCCAUCAUACCUAUCUAUACUAAUCCCUCUAUGCCUUGCUCAUUCAAGUACCUGCAGUUAUUGUUUGUGCUUCUGGCAACACCAUCCAAAUACCAACUACUUUGUGUGGAAAGAUUAUUCCCUCCGAUCCCCUGAGACUCCCCUCUUGCAUUAAUCCUCUGUCCCGGGCUCUAAAUACUCCCAGCACUGGAAACUGAUUCUGACAACCUACCCCAUGGAUAUGUACCCCUUGACCUCAUUUCCUCCAGGAAAAAUACCCAACCAUCCAAUAAGCCUUCCAUCCAGAUAUUAUUCUUUUCUGUACCAUAUCUAGCCCAAACACAUCUUUCCUGUAGAGUGGCCUAGAAUGGCCCACAACACAUCCAAGUACAGCCAAACCGAUGUUUGCAUUAUGGUCCCAACUCUUGUAGUCAAUGCCUCUGCUAAUGAAGAUAAGCACGCCUGAUGUCUUCACCACCGUGUCGACUCGUCUAGCCACUUUCCUGCUGUAGGUGUGUGGUAGGGAAAUAGAGGGGAGUCGAUGGGCUUGUAAGAAGGAUAUGUUCCAGGUAACUAAGAGCAUGUUGUAUGCAAAGGUUCUCGACCGGAUUGCUAAGAAUUGGGAAAGAAAAAUCGGCCGGAUGAUUUGGUUAAAGAAUACAGAUUUCCUUUCCCUACAGACUCUAGUGGCCAAAUUUGGUGACCUACAAUAAGUUCACUAUUUUUUUUUUUUUUUAACUCGGAUUUCCCCCAAAUUAUGAUAAAUUAAUUUUGUUAACUGAAUUUGAUUUCUCCAGCUGCUGUCCUCUGGAUAUUAUUCCAGUAAACUAACCAAUAUGUGACUGAACAUAUUCUGCUGCCCUAUCUAUGAAUGAGAGCGUUGACUUAUUUGAAUGCCAUUCUAAAUGGUGCAACAUCCCUUUUAUGCACUGCUUAAGUGCUCAUUUGUUACUUGUAGAAAUGGUGAAUUUCAGUGCUUUUUGCAUCAUAGGGAGACAGUACGGCUAGGCCUCAUUAAUUUGUAUCUAGCCACCCAUCACUUGCCAGACCAUGCCCUGCUCCCACUUCCUUUUCCAGCUUUUUUCCUCUUAUUAUCAGUGUUCUGACCUGAAACAUCAACUGUCCACUCUCUCCACAGAUGCUGCUUGACCCACUGAGUUCCUCCACUACUUGGUGUUUUGUUCUAGAUCCCAACAUCUGCAGUCUCUUGUGUCUCCAAUAUUGGCCUCUGGGUUUGUAGAUGGCAGGGAGAAAUAGUGAGUUUACCGACAUCACAAUUUCACCUCAAAGUUAGCGUUUGGUGUUUAAAUCUCCAGUAUCAACAUUAGUGAAUCCAAUGAAAAGUCCCAGAGAAAUUUUCACCAGAAAGUUUUCAUUCUGAAAAUCUUCCUGGAAUACCUUUGAUCGUAUUCCAUAUUGAUAUUUCAGGGUGUUAGUGGUUUUUGGUGAUUUUGAUGGAUAUUUUUACUUGCAUUCUAUAGGCUUCAGUUAACAGUUGAUCAGUGGAUAGCUUGCACGCACAUGGCACUGCAUUUCUUUUUCUGAUAAAGUUAUUUUCAGAUAUUUGUCUGAAAUGUUUUGAACGAAGUUUUCAUCACAUAGAAUUAGGAAUAUUUGCAUUGAUGUCAUGCCUUUCACAAUAUCACAAUGCCCCACUUGGGUGCUUUUGAAACUAUGUCCAUAUUGUGGGAAGUGUGACAGCUGAUCGAUACACAGCAGGUUCUGGCAAACAGUAGUAUGGUGAUCACCAGGAUUUGCACCAUAAUUCCUCUGCACUUGAAAAUAUUGCCGUGGGAUGAGUUUCUAUCUCCAAGAGAGUAUUUACGGCCUUGAUUUAUUGUUGGCUCUUGAAAGAAUGUACCUCUGACAGUUCAGGAUGCUCUUGAGUGCACAGUAGUGUCACUUAAGAUGUAUUCAAAUCUCCAAAGUGGUUUAGAGAAAAGAAUAGCAUUAGCAGGCCAUUGAGCCUAACCAGACCAUGCCAUGUUUCCACUCAUCCUCAACCUGCUCCUUAUCAAAAAUUAUGACCACAAUCUAUUGCAUCUGUUUAGUUAGAUUUCUUGUUGAUGCAUUUCUACCAUUCGUAUCAACUACAUUCUUGUGUGAAAUGAGCCAAAGAUUUAAACUUUCCCCAGCCCUCACCCAUCACUAGUGUGACAUGCUAAGCAUGUUACCCAUCUAAUUGAAAAUGAAAUGGGUUUUGGACAGAGCAAAGGACUCUUGUGGACAUGCAAAACCAUUCGGCUGAAUGAGUGAGGUCAGUAAGGCAUGGCUUGCUCUAACCGGAAUAUAUGGUUGGAUUUGGUUUGGGUAGGUAGGUGGUGUGUGGGGUAGUUAAUUCCAUAUUCAAACCCAUCCCCGGCUAAAUAAUUCUUGAAAGGAUUUUAGUGACUACCUUAAGUAAACCUUGGUUUUGUUUCCCUGGGUAGUUUUACUUAGCAUUGCAAAUAUUAAGUAUUCACCUUGCCCACAGCUAGCAAUGGUUAGUUUCUUAUCAUUAUUGUUUUGCAUAUUUGUUUUGUAUCCCUCUAUAUCACCAUCUAUAUCCCUUGUUUCCCUUUCCCCUGACUCUGAGUCUGAAGAAGGGUCUCGACCCGAAACGUCAUCUAUUCCUUUUCUCCAGAGAUGCUGCCUCACCCGCUGAGUUACUCCAGCUUUGAGGCAGAUGCAUUGUAACUGCUUCAAUUUUCAUGUAGCCUCAGAAAGAAUAUAUCGCAAUGAUCGCAAAAAUCUUUGUGGACUCGCAAUGUAAACUACCCAGGUUAAGAGGUUAAUGUGGAUAAAUUGGAAGUAAAAUUAUGUCUGUGGUAUCUUUGAAAGUACUGUCGGGGAAGACUACUUACUUAUAGUUUAGCUGCCAAGGACAUGAAGAACACUUAGUGGUAAUGGCCUCAAUUCUCAGUGGACUUGGCAAUACUAAAGCAGUUAUGGGUUUUUCUUUCCCCUAUGAUGUUUGUCUCAUUAAUUCUUCUCCAUUUUAUUGCAAACCUUUCAUAUGAACAUCUCUAAUUGGUGCCUUAUGGUACUUUUUUGCUAUUUGAUUUUUGUCACUUGGAAGUCCAAAAAACUACCUGCCUAAUUGGACAUCAGGCUGACCGAUUAGUGUAGCAUGUACAGAGACAUAUGUUUAGCACUGCCCUAUAUUUGUGUGUUAAGCCUCUAGCAUUCCUGUAUUGAUACCAGCCCAUGGUUUCUCUAUAAACAGCGUAUGUGGGAUAAACUAUUGGGAACUGGUCAGAAUCUUAUUUCAUUUAGGCAAUUUCUAAGAAUUUCCACCCGGAAGUACUGCUGGGCUUUAAAUUGCUCAAAUUUGCUGUAGCAUUAUGGUACGAUGAAAAAUUAAAUUCCAUUGCAUUCCAAAA